UAUGCGUGAGGCCGUUCCAUUUCGAUUUCGAGCAACCUUCAUUGACAGAAGAUAAUAUCAAGGAGCUUAUAUAUCGUGAAUCAGUCCAGUUUAACCCUCAAGAUUCUUAGUCCGAGACUUUAAAAGAGAAUCUUGACAAGAAACUCAACAAGCUCUGUUCAUAGAGAAAUUAGUUACGGACGGAAUACAUUGCUCUACGGAAUUAGUUACCUCCGGGAUAACAAAUCCCACCGUCGCCGAGCCGUCGCUUUAGCUCGCUCGUCUGUCGCAGUUUUACAGAAUUUUUAAUAAGGGGGCGAUAGUUUCUCUUAUUUCGAUUAUAACCCCCAAUCUUACUGAUUGUUCAACAUUCUGAGAAACCCUUCUUUUUGUUUCCACUAUCCUAUUUAUUGGGCUUAUUUAAAGUAUCUCGUCUCGUCUGGCUUACAAAAGCCCAAUUCAUUCGAUUAAUUAUGUUGUACGGAAAUAUUAAAUAAAAAUGAUUACAGAUCAAUUAACUCUUCUAUUUUGCAGAUUA